rnacentral:rRNA from 1 species
UACGAAGGGGGCUAGCGUUGUUCGGAUUUACUGGGCGUAAAGCGCACGUAGGCGGGUUGUUAAGUCAGGGGUGAAAUCCUGGAGCUCAACUCCAGAACUGCCUUUGAUACUGAAGAUCUUGAGUUCGGGAGAGGUGAGUGGAACUGCGAGUGUAGAGGUGAAAUUCGUAGAUAUUCGCAAGAACACCAGUGGCGAAGGCGGCUCACUGGCCCGAUACUGACGCUGAGGCACGAAAGCGUGGGAGCAAACAGGG